UACGUAGGGGGCAAGCGUUGUCCGGAAUCAUUGGGCGUAAAGAGCGCGUAGGCGGUCCGAUAAGUCGGCUGUGAAAGUCCAGGGCUCAACCCUGGGAUGCGGGUGGAUACUGCCGGGCUCGAGUCCGGAAGAGGCGAGUGGAAUUCCCGGUGUAGCGGUGAAAUGCGCAGAUAUCGGGAGGAACACCAAUGGCGAAGGCAGCUCGCUGGGACGUGACUGACGCUGAGACGCGAAAGCGUGGGGAGCAAACAGG
rnacentral:rRNA from 1 species